CCCUCUGCGCCCCAAGGACGACCCUGAGGCCGCGCAGGGCGGGACGAAGCCGGAACGCGGGCCUGGGGGCGCACAGCCCUGUCCCUCGGAAGCGGCUGGGCCCAGGCCUGUCCCUGCAGCUCCAGCUCCGAGGUCGGAGCUUUGCCUGUAGAAUAGGCAUUAGCGGGGCAUCGUCCCUUGGGCCUGGGCGCACACCUGCUGCCUCGCCCCGGGCCCUCAGGGCGGCGGACCCCAGGGGACGCCCCGCCGAUGUCCUGUAAUCCAGUAGGACGGGACCGGUCAGAGGCCCGCGAGCGGCAGGGGGAGGCCCUAGAAGCUUCCCGGACCUGCACGGGAACAGCCGGGCGACCUCUCUCGGUCCCAGAGGGACUUCCAGACCCUGGUGUCCCCGGCCAAGCGGCAGGACCUUGACGUCCUGAGACCCCUGGUGAGACCAAGAGCAGUAGGAGAGCCAGCGAAGACCCUACAGGCUCACCAAGAACGAGAAGGCCCUGGCACGCAGCUGACGGACAGGUACCCUGGCCUCUUUGCUUCUCUUCAGACUCCCUGAUUUUUUAAUUUAUUCAUGAGAGGGAGAGAGAGGCUCCAUGCAGGGAGCCCAAUGCAGGACUCGAUCCCGGGACUCCAGCAUCACAGCCUGGGCUGAAGGCAGGAGCUAAACGGCUGAGCCCCGCAGGGAUCAUUUCAAGCACAUGGAAGCUGCAUAAGCAGAGGACUCCACUCAGAACCCGCUUCAGGAAGCCUCUCGUACCAGUCAGGAUGCUUUCAGCUUCAAGCUAGAGAUUCAAGACGGUAAGACGCAGGCUUGGAAUCCUCCUGGCAGGCCAUGCACCGCAGGCAGCCCCCGAGCAAGUUAACUCAGCAGCUUGCCCAUGUCCGCGCCGUCGGCGGCCUCCUCCGUGCCUCGGCUUUCCCCACGUGGUCUCACACCGCAGGCCUCGACUCGGAACAUCAGAUCCACACGAAACCACAUCCAAAGGCAGAAAGAAAUAACAGCUUCCCCCUGCCCCCCACCCCAGGACAUCUUUUAUCAGAGAGGGAAAUCCCUCCCAGCAGACUCUCCCGCUGGGCCCAUUAGGGGGGUCUAGGCUCCUCGCUCCCCCUGGAGAAAUCCUUGGCAAAGGAGAAGCAUUGCUAUGGUUUCCGUGUGACUGGGGGACGGGGGAGCCCCUCUUCUUUGAAUACAUUCUUCCUCUUCUUAAGCAAGUUCCCAUCAACAAGGAUGAGCGGGGACAUGGCCGAGGGAUAGGCUGUCAACGGCGUCAGCCAUGCGCUCUCUCCUCGCGUCCCUCCUCGCCACGGCCUCACCCCUGUGCCCAGCGCCUUCGAGUACUCGGCCUUUGGGCUUUCCCAGCUGUCCCGUAGUGCUGGUUCACCUACCGGCCCCUACACCCGCCUCCGUGCGGCUUAUUCCUCUCUGAGUCUGCAGCACGCAGCAAGGCCGAGCGCAGAGCGCCAGUGAAAGCUAUUGCUUGAGUGUUUCAGUGGUUGAAUUAGUGGCAUGUUCUAGAACUGUGCUUGUGUCAAUGCUAGUAAUUUGACCCAUCUGUGGAGCAAUGGUUUGCCCAUAUGAAGAGACUUACACGUGACCGCACAGUUUGUACCUUUAGCUGCAUGUAAUUUUUUUUUUUUUUUUUGGUUUUGUGACUUAGUCCUCUGCAGCAUCAACCAAAUGACUACUUUCUUCCUUAAAUAGAGUUGAUGUUUCUGGAUCUCCAAAGGACCAUACUGGUGUUGAGCCGUUUUCUUUUUUUUUUUUUUUUCCCUCUUGCGCCAUUAAGCGUCUGCCAAGCCAGCAUAGAUCAACACCAUCUAUUGGCGUCCCAGCCUCAGAGCGGAACUCCAGAGGCAGGGCUUCCUCUUCUGGGUCAAGGUGACCCGUAACUUGCAUCUUCUUCGUGCUAACCCUCGGUCCGCACAGCUGCAGCAUCUCUGUGACGUGGUCAGCGGCUUCUCGCCCUGUGCCUUAGCAAAUAUUUAUUGAGGGGAUUAGUGAAUGAAUCAUCUGACUCGCGUGUAAUCUUCAAAAACAGCCAUAGCAGACAAGAGUCUUAUUUAAGAGGUGUCUGCCUCAGCUCAAACAGCUUUAAGAAUCACCAAAUUAGCAGCUUUUAUCCACGUUGACACUCCGUUCUCAAACUAAUUACCUGCUUAUGCAACUGACCUUAUGAAGGGCUGUUGACACCUCCUUAAGUUGUCUUUGGAAAUCAGAAUUGAACCCAAAAACAAUUAUGAUCUUGCCAGGUUCAAAAACUGCCAUUUUGACAUGGCCAGAAUCUCCCCAUUGAAUUCAGAAAUCGGAUUCAAACCCUAAAGUCGGGAAAAGAAGGGAUGCGAAUCAAACCAGCAGAGGAAUAAUGAACAGAAACAGCCAUUGGUUAACUUAGGCACGGAAAUAAGAAUAGAAGUGUCCACGGAAGCACACACCGCCACUAUUCUAUCAUAGAAUGAACGUUAGCUGGUUGAUGGAAAUUUUGCUUUUGACGUUUAUAUGGACAAUGGUUCCUUAGCAAAAAGAACUGCAGAGCACUGUCACGCCAAUGUCCCAUGUGACAAUAAGCAUCAUCCCUUCAGCAGAAGUCACCGCUAGCGUCCUAGACCGUCCCUUCAGAGCAAUCAGACAUCAAACAGGGUAUCCUAUUAGACGUUAGGGUCCAUGAAAGCAAAGUCAUGGCAUCAUGGUGUCACGGCCCAGACUGCCAGGCAGGGGUACCUUCCGUCACGGGGCCCACGGGCAGGACUUGUCGGAGGAUCACAGAGACCACGAUGGCAACGUAACCAGAGGCCCGGUAACUCCUGCUGGAAUGGAGCAGCGUCCUCACGACAACAUGCUCAGGCACAGCCUCCAAACUUCAGCAGUCAGAAAUGGGGCUCCUUGGGCCCAGGAUUCGGCCUGGGAACGAAGGAACAGAGCUCCCAGCAAACGUGGCCCUGUCACAACAAACCAAGGGCCGAUCCUGGCUCACCGGGCCAUAAAUUCCUGGGGAGCAGGAACAGCUCGGUGGUGACAAUAUUAUUCAUAAAUAAUAUUCAGGUUUGGGCUGACUAUGCAAUGCACAUUCAUAAAAUCAUCAAGUGAAGGUGAGCUUUAGAAUCUGUUUAAUCCAAAACUCCUCAUUUCACUAAAGAGAAAUCAAAUUGGUUUUGUUUUGUUUAAAGACUUUAUUUAUUUAUUCAUGAGACACAGAGAGAGGCAGAGACACAGCAGAGGGAGAAGCAGGCUCCAGGCAGGGAGCCCGACGUGGGACUCGAUCCCAGGACCUCAGGUCACGACCUGAGCCUAAGGCAGAUGCUCAACUGCUGAGCCCCCCAGGCGUCCUGAAGAAAUCAAGUUUUAAAGAUGGGAAGGGCAAGACCCUUCCCACACAGUUUUGGACUCCAUAUGCUCUGAUUAACUCUUCAUACAAUAACAAUUGUGUAAUCUUUUCUAAAGAGAAAAAAAAAUUCAGCGUUUUAGCAAAAAAUAUUUUUUCUCAAUUAUUUAUUAAUGGUAUAGAAAAGUUACUUUCAGCUUCAUAAGUUAUUGUAUUGAGCUGCAUGCUUGUGCAAUGAAUUACUCUUAUGCUGCACAGUGAAUCAGAGACGAAUCUGGGUCGGGCUUUUGUUCAGGGAAACACGUCUCGUCGGGCUGCUGCUUGCAUGCUGUUUCCUCUGCAACCAGCAGGCUUCCUCAGAACCGGAUAGAUCAGAUGCACAAAAGCACAAUCUGAUAUGCGUGCAGAAAACACAACUUCACAUUCAGGAUGGGCUCAGCAUUUGUAGGACACGCAGGAAUUCAGGCUAAAUUCUAUUUUUUGAGGCUUUCCGUCAUAAUAUGAAAGACUGUAAGGGCUGUUUAUCCGUGUCCACGCUACCUUCCCAAGUACGUUUCUGACAGCAGAGAACUUCCCUUCUGACGAAGAUGAUUAGCACAGAAUUCUCCAACUACAGUUUUAUCCAUCCGUGAUUCAAAGAAUGCUUCGCAGCCUUGCACUGGGUACGCUUGGAGCCUUGCGUCUCUUGAGCUCCUCCUAGUUCCAGAGUGGGAGCUGGGGCCUCGUGCAGAACGUCAGCGCCUCCGGCCCCCACCCCGUGUCACUUCACUGCGUCAGCACAGUGAGUGGGAGACUUCCAGGAAGUCCUUUGCAGGGGGGGGAGCUAACACCAGCCCAACUAUAGGUUCAGGGGGCUGGAAACCACGUACAUCCCACUAAACCACGCUCGGAUACGUCCUCGUUAACCUCUGUCCUGUCAGCGGGAUCCCACGGAGUUCACAGCUGUGAUGAAGUCACCUGACCCAAGACGACAGGCAAAAGACAGUGGUCUUAAUUUAUUGUGGUUAAAACACUAUUUAAAAUAUUUUUACAAACACAGUCAUGGGAACAUAGAGCUGGUGACCCCAUGAGGGGCCCUUGAAGCUUUAUGACCUUCGCGCUCCUUGUGACCUCUGUAUCCUCCUGGAAGAGGCAUAGUGAAUCAUAGUAAUUAACUUUCUAAUGUUAGAACUUCACAUUUUGUGGAUAAUUACAGCUUAUUCAUGAUAUAUUAUUAAAUUUCACAUUGCUGAGUUAAGUCUGCUAAUAUUUUUGUGUAGAAUGUAUCUGUGUUCAUAAAUGACACUGUAUUAAUUUGCAUUUCUUGUACCAUCCUUGCCAAGUUUGGUAUUAAGACAGGUUACAUUCGCAUGUUCUGGAAUAAUUUUUAUAAAAUUGACCUUUUUGUUCCUUGAAUGUUUGAUAUCACUUAGCAAAACUGCCUGGAGCUGGAUUAUUUUUUUUUUUGUGGGGAUAUUUCCUGUUAUUUGACUAUUUUUAUUGAUUAUGGAACUAUUUACAUUUUCUAUUUCCUCUUGAAUCAGUUUUGGGGUUUUAUAUUUUUCUAGGAUUUUUCAAUUUUGUCUAAUUUUUUUUUCAAUUCAUUGGCAUUAAGUUGUUCAAAAGAUGGUAUUUUCUUUUUAAUAUAUCCAGUUAUGUUUUUUACAUUUUUACAUUAUACGAUUUUUACAUUUACGUUAGAAAGUCAGUUACUAUCGUUAACUUGUGCCUCCUCUUUCUCUCUCUCUCUU